GACGAACGCUGGCGGCGUGCCUAAUACAUGCAAGUAGAACGCUGAAGAGAGGAGCUUGCUCUUCUUGGAUGAGUUGCGAACGGGUGAGUAACGCGUAGGUAACCUGCCUUGUAGCGGGGGAUAACUAUUGGAAACGAUAGCUAAUACCGCAUAACAAUGGAUGACACAUGUCAUUUAUUUGAAAGGGGCAAUUGCUCCACUACAAGAUGGACCUGCGUUGUAUUAGCUAGUAGGUGAGGUAACGGCUCACCUAGGCGACGAUACAUAGCCGACCUGAGGGGGUGAUCGGCCACACUGGGACUGAGACACGGCCCAGACUCCUACGGGAGGCAGCAGUAGGGAAUCUUCGGCAAUGGGGGCAACCCUGACCGAGCAACGCCGCGUGAGUGAAGAAGGUUUUCGGAUCGUAAAGCUCUGUUGNUAGUCAAGAACGAGUGUGAGAGUGGAAAGUUCACACUGUGACGGUAGCUUACCAGAAAGGGACGGCUAACUACGUGCCAGCAGCCGCGGUAAUACGUAGGUCCCGAGCGUUGUCCGGAUUUAUUGGGCGUAAAGCGAGCGCAGCGGUUUGAUAAGUCUGAAGUUAAAGGCUGUGGCUCAACCAUAGUUCGCUUUGGAAACUGUCAAACUUGAGUGCAGAAGGGGAGAGUGGAAUUCCAUGUGUAGCGGUGAAAUGCGUAGAUAUAUGGAGGAACACCGGUGGCGAAAGCGGCUCUCUGGUCUGUAACUGACGCUGAGGCUCGAAAGCGUGGGGAGCGAACAGGAUUAGAUACCCUGGUAGUCCACGCCGUAAACGAUGAGUGCUAGGUGUUGGAUCCUUUCCGGGAUUCAGUGCCGCAGCUAACGCAUUAAGCACUCCGCCUGGGGAGUACGACCGCAAGGUUGAAACUCAAAGGAAUUGACGGGGGCCCGCACAAGCGGUGGAGCAUGUGGUUUAAUUCGAAGCAACGCGAAGAACCUUACCAGGUCUUGACAUCCCGAUGCUAUUUCUAGAGAUAGAAAGUUACUUCGGUACAUCGGUGACAGGUGGUGCAUGGUUGUCGUCAGCUCGUGUCGUGAGAUGUUGGGUUAAGUCCUGCAACGAGCGCAACCCCUAUUGUUAGUUGCCAUCAUUCAGUUGGGCACUCUAGCGAGACUGCCGGUAAUAAACCGGAGGAAGGUGGGGAUGACGUCAAAUCAUCAUGCCCCUUAUGACCUGGGCUACACACGUGCUACAAUGGUUGGUACAACGAGUUGCGAGUCGGUGACGGCAAGCUAAUCUCUUAAAGCCAAUCUCAGUUCGGAUGGUAGGCUGCAACUCGCCUACAUGAAGUCGGAAUCGCUAGUAAUCGCGGAUCAGCACGCCGCGGUGAAUACGUUCCCGGGCCU
rnacentral:rRNA from 1 species